rnacentral:rRNA from 1 species
UACGUAGGGUGCAAGCGUUGUCCGGAAUUAUUGGGCGUAAAGGGCUCGUAGGCGGUCCAUCGCGUCGGGAGUGAAAAGCUGGGGCUCAACCCCAGUCCUGCCUCCGAUACGGGUGGACUAGAGGUAUGCAGGGGAGAACGGAAUUCCUGGUGUAGCGGUGAAAUGCGCAGAUAUCAGGAGGAACACCGGUGGCGAAGGCGGGUCUCUGGGCCGAUAUUGACGCUGAGGAGCGAAAGCGUGGGGAGCGAACAGG